rnacentral:rRNA from 1 species
GACGAACGCUGGCGGCGUGCCUAAUACAUGCAAGUUGAGCGCUGAAGGUUGGUGCUUGUACCAACUGGAUGAGCAGCGCACGGGUGAGUAACGCGUGGGGAAUCUGCCUUUGAGCGGGGGACAACAUUUGGAGACGAAUGCUAAUACCGCAUAAAAACUUUAAACACAAGUUUUAAGUUUGAAAGAUGCAAUUGCAUCACUCAAAGAUGAUCCCGCGUUGUAUUAGCUAGUUGGUGAGGUAAAGGCUCACCAAGGCGAUGAUACAUAGCCGACCUGAGAGGGUGAUCGGCCACAUUGGGACUGAGACACGGCCCAAACUCCUACGGGAGGCAGCAGUAGGGAAUCUUCGGCAAUGGACGAAAGUCUGACCGAGCAACGCCGCGUGAGUGAAGAAGGUUUUCGGAUCGUAAAACUCUGUUGGUAGAGAAGAACGUUGGUGAGAGUGGAAAGCUCAUCAAGUGACGGUAACUACCCAGAAAGGGACGGCUAACUACGUG